GUUGCGGUGGCCGAGUGGUUAAGGCGUUGGACUAGAAAUCCAAUGGGAUCUUCCCGCGCAGGUUCAAAUCCUGCUCGCA
rnacentral:tRNA from 1 species